rnacentral:rRNA from 1 species
CGAAACCCGGUGAUCUAGCCAUGGGCAGGUUGAAGGUUGGGUAACACUAACUGGAGGACCGAACCGACUAAUGUUGAAAAAUUAGCGGAUGACUUGUGGCUGGGGGUGAAAGGCCAAUCAAACCGGGAGAUAGCUGGUUCUCCCCGAAAGCUAUUUAGGUAGCGCCUCGUGAAUUCAUCUCCGGGGGUAGAGCACUGUUUCGGCAAGGGGGUCAUCCCGACUUACCAACCCGAUGCAAACUGCGAAUACCGGAGAAUGUUAUCACGGGAGACACACGGCGGGUGCUAACGUCCGUCGUGAAGAGGGAAACAACCCAGACCGCCAGCUAAGGUCCCAAAGUCAUGGUUAAGUGGGAAACGAUGUGGGAAGGCCCAGACAGCCAGGAUGUUGGCUUAGAAGCAGCCAUCAUUUAAAGAAAGCGUAAUAGCUCACUGGUCGAGUCGGCCUGCGCGGAAGAUGUAACGGGGCUAAACCAUG